rnacentral:rRNA from 1 species
CACGACUACAUUAGAUACCCCUGUAGUCCUAGCCGUAAACGAUACUCGCUAGGUGUCGGCCACGGUGCGACCGUUGUCGGUGCCGUAGGGAAGCCGUGAAGCGAGCCACCUGGGAAGUACGGCCGCAAGGCUGAAACUUAAAGGAAUUGGCGGGGGAGCACAACAACGGGUGGAGCUUGCGGUUUAAUUGGAUUCAACGCCGGAAAUCUUACCGGGACCGACAGCAACAUGAAGGCCAAGCUGAAGACUUUGCCGGAUUAGCUG